CGGGAGGCGGCGACGCCCUCCCCUCCGCCGGAUCCGGCAGGAGGGGAGGCAGGAGGUGGCGGGCGACGGGUUGCGGCAGCGCCCUCCGCUCCCUCAGAUCUGGCCAGCCGUCGUCGCCACUUGCCGCUGCCGUCCGCCACCCUCCAGCGCUACCGUCCGCUGCCACCGCCCACCGCCCACCGCUACCGUCUGCUUGGAGCGCCAUCGCCUGGAUCUGCGUCGCCGCUCCCUCCGUCCUCCUUCACCGCCGCCGCUCCCUCCAGCGCCCGCUCGCCCGCCAGCCAACGCCGACGCCGUUGGGCCCGUUGCCAAGAGUCCUCCACCGCCGUUGCCCUCCGACGCCGUCCUCCUCCCACUGUCCACCCUCCCUCCUGGUCACCAACACCGUCGUGUUCUUCUGCGUCGACUCCGGUCACCAACACAAGAUUAAUUGGGGAGCCGCUCUUUGAUCAUUUGAUAUGUGUGUGUUUUGAAAUGGGGAAAUUUUGGUAAAUUCUUGUUCUGAAAUGUAUGCUGAACUUGAUCUUUUCAGGAAAGAUUAAUUGUAAAUUAUGAGUUGUUGUGUUGAUGGAUAGGAGUAGCAGAAGAUGAGUUGUGAAUAUCCUAUUAGUAUUAAUAGAAAUGAGUCACUGGAGAGGAGGGGUUAAAAUGCUUUUGUGUAGCUUUGGGAAAGUUAAUAUAGAACUUGAUGCAAUCUGAAAUCUGAACUUGAUGGUGCAGUUUUGUAUAUGCCAUGAACCUGUGUAUUCCAUGAAUUUGAAACAAUAUGAGGAUGCUAGAAUGCAGUAAACCUGGAAAUUUUCUUUU